AUUGAACGCUGGCGGCAUGCCUUACACAUGCAAGUCGAACGGCAGCACGGGGCAACCUGGUGGCGAGUGGCGAACGGGUGAGUAAUGCAUCGGAACGUACCUUUCGGUGGGGGAUAACGUAGCGAAAGUUACGCUAAUACCGCAUAUUCUGUGAGCAGGAAAGCAGGGGAUCGCAAGACCUUGCGCUGAUUGAGCGGCCGAUGUCAGAUUAGCUAGUUGGUGAGGUAAAGGCUCACCAAGGCGACGAUCUGUAGCGGGUCUGAGAGGAUGAUCCGCCACACGGGAACUGAGACACGGCCCAGACUCCUACGGGAGGCAGCAGUGGGGAACUUUGGACAAUGGGGGCAACCCUGAUCCAGCCAUGCCGCGUGAGUGAAGAAGGCCUUCGGGUUGUAAAGCUCUUUCGGCCGGGAAGAAAUCGCACGGGCUAAUACCCUGUGUGGAUGACGGUACCGGAAUAAGAAGCACCGGCUAACUACGUGCCAGCCGCCGCGGUAACAC
rnacentral:rRNA from 1 species